rnacentral:sRNA from 1 species
UUGACAGCCCUCGAGGCUAAAGUUUAUUACAUAUCCCCAGAACAGGUGCAGCUUGGACAACAGCAGUGCAGGCUUUGUCCACAUGCUACUCCCUUCCAAAGUGUCUCUGCUGUACCCUGGAGAGACCACUUCUCAGGAGGGGAAGCAAGUGCAGUGUCCUCAGUCUCUUUAAUCCUUGGCCAUA